rfam:Pteropus alecto contig24148, whole genome shotgun sequence.
CCAAAGGCUCUUUUCAGAGCCACUCCACUUGCCAUGAAAAGAACUGU